rnacentral:rRNA from 1 species
UACGGAGGGGGCUAGCGUUGUUCGGAAUUACUGGGCGUAAAGGGCGCGUAGGCGGCCGAUUAAGUCGGGGGUGAAAGCCUGUGGCUCAACCACAGAAUUGCCUUCGAUACUGAUUGGCUUGAGACCGGAAGAGGUCAGUGGAACUGCGAGUGUAGAGGUGAAAUUCGUAGAUAUUCGCAAGAACACCAGUGGCGAAGGCGGCUGACUGGUCCGGUUCUGACGCUGAGGCGCGAAAGCGUGGGGAGCAAACAGG